AUGCAAAGCUAUCCUAAUCAUGCA
rnacentral:siRNA from 1 species